CGUUGUCUCCAAUAUUAAAUCGUAUGGAUGAUGAAGAAGAACAAAAAGAAUAUGCAUUUUGGAAAACAUUGUAAUUGUACCAAAAAGUCUAGAGUUGAAAAAAGAUAAAGAUGAGAAUGAAACAAAUGUUGGUGUUUGUAGUCAAUUGAAAGAGUUACAAAACAGUUCCGAAUCUAUCGAUAAAAGAAGCUGGGUGUGUUGAAGGAAUUAUAAAAAUAUUUCAAGGUUAAUGUCGUUUGUUUUUUAGGUGUCAGAUGAAAUUUUCUAUUCUGGUGACUCUUCAUAUGUACCAUCUAGCUCAGAGGUAAGUGUUAAAGUACACCACAUUCAACACACAUCUCACAAUGCGUUUCCAAACACUACUGUUUAGUAGUAACUAUAUUUAAAACGAAAUCCGCCUUCAUUUCAUAAUUUAAAAAAAAUAUU